UACGGGGGGGGCAAGCGUUGUUCGGAAUUACUGGGCGUAAAGGGCUCGUAGGCGGCCAACUAAGUCAUACGUGAAAUCCCUCGGCUUAACCGGGGAACUGCGUCUGAUACUGGAUGGCUUGAAUCCGGGAGAGGGAUGUGGAAUUCCAGGUGUAGCGGUGAAAUGCGUAGAUAUCUGGAGGAACACCGGUGGCGAAGGCGGCAUCCUGGACCGGUAUUGACGCUGAGGCGCGAAAGCCAGGGGAGCAGACAGG
rnacentral:rRNA from 1 species